UACGAGGGGUGCAAGCGUUAAUCGGAAUUACUGGGCGUAAAGCGUACGCAGGCGGUUUUUUAAGCCAGAUGUGAAAGCCCCGGGCUCAACCUGGGAAUAGCAUUUGGAACUGGGGAACUAGAGUCUUGUAGAGGGGGGUAGAAUUUCAGGUGUAGCGGUGAAAUGCGUAGAGAUCUGAAGGAAUACCGGUGGCGAAGGCGGCCCCCUGGACAAAGACUGACGCUCAUGUACGAAAGCGUGGGGAGCAAAC
rnacentral:rRNA from 1 species